rnacentral:rRNA from 1 species
UACAGAGGUGGCAAGCGUUGUUCGGAAUUACUGGGCGUAAAGGGCGCGUAGGCGGUUCGUUAAGUCCUGUGUGAAAUCCCCCGGCUCAACUGGGGAACUGCACAGGAAACUAGCGGGCUUGAGUUCGGGAGAGGGAAGCGGAAUUCCGGGUGUAGCGGUGAAAUGCGUAGAUAUCCGGAAGGAACACCGGUGGCGAAGGCGGCUUCCUGGACCGACACUGACGCUGAGGCGCGAAAGCUAGGGGAGCAAACGGG